UCAGAGCGUGGAGGUUCAUCAUGCAGAACCUGGUCAAGACAGGUUCUCUGCUGGUGACGGUUCCCAGUCUUCAGGAGAGUCUGGACGCUCUGCAGGAGGCGCUGCGUCCUGGCUGGGUAGAGGAACUUCCUGUGGACUACGACGUUUACCUGGGCAGAGACACGGACCCAGAAGCCCUCAGACAGAUCCACCUGUACAGGGUCAUGUGAACUGGUCUCCACAACUGGUUCGGACCAGUCUGAACAACUUAAACUAGUCUGGAACAGUCGGAUUCUAAACUGGAAUCAAGGCUGAAUCGGUCCCGACUGCUGGACUGGUUUUAACUCAUGAUCCCUCAUUGGACGCGGUGUGAACCAGUCUGAAUCCUGAUGUCUAUGAAUGCAUCUGUGUGGAAGCUGCUGUGUAAACAGACGACACAGUGAAACAUCUGGAAUUAGAACUGAAACUAACAAAGGUCCAGAUUAAUAAAUCCAGAAUUCUCCUCUGUCACUGUGACAUCACAGCUGUGUCAUGGAUUAUGUGACAUCGUGGGACGUUGUGCUGUGAGGUCAUGACAUAUGAAAUGUGACAUCACAACAUAUUUCUUUGUGAAUGAUGCAGAACUUGAAUUAUAUUUUUAUGAAUCCUCUGAAUUAAACAUGAAAAAGUGACACAUGUU